rnacentral:rRNA from 1 species
GACGAACGCUGGCGGCGUGCCUAACACAUGCAAGUCGAACGAGGUCCAUGCAGUGGCAACACUGCGGAAGACCUAGUGGCGAACGGGUGAGUAACACGUGAGGAACCUGCCCCGAAGACCGGGAUAACUCUCCGAAAGGAGCGCUAAUACCGGAUGCCCCCACCGAACCGCAUGGUUUGGUGAGGAAAUGGAUUCCGCUUCGGGAGGGCCUCGCGGCCUAUCAGCUAGUUGGUGGGGUAACGGCCCACCAAGGCAUCGACGGGUAGCUGGUCUGAGAGGACGAUCAGCCACACUGGGACUGAGACACGGCCCAGACUCCUACGGGAGGCAGCAGUGGGGAAUCUUGCGCAAUGGGCGAAAGCCUGACGCAGCAACGCCGCGUGGGGGAUGAAGGCUUUCGGGUUGUAAACCCCUUUCAGCAGGGACGAAUCAAGACGGUACCUGCAGAAGAAGCCCCGGCUAACUACGUGCCAGCAGCCGCGG